rnacentral:rRNA from 1 species
GACGGAGGAUGCAAGUGUUAUCCGGAAUCACUGGGCGUAAAGCGUCUGUAGGUGGUUCGAAAAGUCCACUGUUAAAAAUUGAGGCUUAACUUCAAAGAUGCCGUGGAAACUUUCAAACUAGAGUAUGGUAGGGGUAGAGGGAAUUUCCAGUGGAGCGGUGAAAUGCGUAGAUAUUGGAAAGACCACCGAUGGCGAAGGCACUCUACUGGGCCAUUACUGACACUGAGAGACGAAAGCUAGGGGAGCAAAUGGGA